AGAGUUUGAUCCUGGCUCAGAAUCAACGCUGGCGGCGUGCCUAACACAUGCAAGUCGAACGCGAGGGUCCCGCAAGGGACUAGUAGAGUGGCAAACGGGUGAGUAACACGUGGGCGACCUGCCUUCGAGUGGGGGAUAACGUCCCGAAAGGGACGCUAAUACCGCAUGACAUCCUGCCGUUGAAACCGGUGGAGAUCAAAGCUGAGGAUCGCAAGACUUAGCGCUUGAAGAGGGGCCCGCGUCCGAUUAGCUAGUUGGUGAGGUAACGGCUCACCAAGGCGACGAUCGGUAGCCAGCCUGAGAGGGCGGACGGCCACACUGGGACUGAGACACGGCCCAGACUCCUACGGGAGGCAGCAGUGGGGAAUUGUUCACAAUGGGCGCAAGCCUGAUGACGCAACGCCGCGUGGAGGAUGAAGAUCUUCGGGUCGUAAACUCCUUUCGAUCGAGACGAAUGGCUUCCGGGCUAAUCACCGGGAGAAUGACGGUACCGAGAGAAGAAGCCCCGGCUAACUCCGUGCCAGCAGCCGCGGUAAUACGGGGGGGGCAAGCGUUGUUCGGAAUUACUGGGCGUAAAGGGCUCGUAGGCGGCCAACUAAGUCAGACGUGAAAUCCCUCGGCUUAACCGGGGAACUGCGUCUGAUACUGGAUGGCUUGAGGUUGGGAGAGGGAUGCGGAAUUCCAGGUGUAGCGGUGAAAUGCGUAGAUAUCUGGAGGAACACCGGUGGCGAAGGCGGCAUCCUGGACCAAUUCUGACGCUGAGGAGCGAAAGCCAGGGGAGCAAACGGGAUUAGAUACCCCCGUAGUCC
rnacentral:rRNA from 1 species